AAUUCUCCAGAGUACAUAACUGACAGGAAGUUAGGUAAAGGUGGUUUUGGUCAUGUCUAUGUUGGUCGAAGGGUUUCUGGUGGAGCUGCCCGCACUGGUCCUGAUGCAUAUGAGGUCGCAUUGAAAUUAGAGCAUCGAAACAGUAAAGGAUGCAAUUAUGGCCCUCCAUAUGAGUGGCAGGUUUAUAACACUCUCAAUGGUUGCUAUGGCAUACCAUCGGUCCACUACAAGGGUCGUCACAGCGACUACUAUAUACUUGUGAGUUCACUUCU